CUGGGAUUCACACAUCAUACCCACUGGGGUCUAACACAUACCCCCUGGGGUCUAAACACAUACCCAUGGGGGUCUAAACACAUACCCACUGGGGGUCUAAACACAUACCACCUGGGGUCUAAACCAUACACCAACUGGGGUCUAAAACACAUACCCACUGGGGUCAAACACAUAACCCUGGGGUCUAAACACAUACCCACGGGGGUCUAAACACAUACCCACUGGGAUCUAACACAGACCCACUGGGGUCUAAACACAUACCCACUGGGGGUCUAAACAAAUACCCACUGGGGGUCUAAACACAUACCCACUGGGGGUCUAAACACAUACCCACUGGGGGUCUAAACACAUACCCACGGGGGUCUAAACACACUACCCACUGGGUUAUAAACACAUACCACGGGUUAAAAACACAUACCACUGGGGUAAAAACCAUACCCCACUGGGAUCUAAACAACCCCGAUACCACCCACUGGGGUCUAACAAUGGGGUCUAAACACAUACCCACUGGGAUCU
rnacentral:lncRNA from 1 species